UAGUUCUGGCCUGCCCUGUCCAAGCACAGAGUAGGAUCACGAGGCCCAAAUGAAAAUAUGGGCUUCUUGAUUCCUAAAGCGGGGCGGACCGCAUGAGGCUGGCUUCACAGAGCAGUGAACAGCUCCCGCUCUGUGCAGUGGAAGGAUAAUGGGUCGGUGUCUUAUCAAGUUCAGUAACGCCUAAUGGGUUGCUCCAAUAAACAACCACCUUU
rnacentral:SRP_RNA from 1 species